UAGAAAUCUUUGAAAAUAGUGUGGAACGUUUCCAUCUUGCCAUUCUGAUUGGAUUAGUUACUGCAGUGUCGUCAAUAGUCGGAAUAAUCAUCUGGAAAAAGCCCUGGAAAGAUUCACCAACUGGGACCUACAUAACAGCUCGCACUUCUGAUGUCUCCAUUCCAGCUCCUUCAUGAUUCAGACAUUCCCGGAGCCUCAUUGAGGAAUGAAGGAAAUCUCCUGUUCCAGUGUGAACAUGGACACCAUUGAACAUCCUUCCAUAUCACAGCAGGCAAACAGAUUUUUGGCUCAUUGUUCGCACCCAGUCCUUUCAGGAAUGAGAUCGAUUUUUUUUUCUAGGGAAUGUAUUUCCACUGACUGAACAGUGAAUCCCGGAUUUGCAGGAAUGGGGGGAACCUGAUUCUUCAAGUGAGACCUUCUCAAGUCAUGAUCCAAUCCCAUCUCAGAAACGUGAGCAGCUUCACUGUCAGAGGAAUCUUCACAGAUGGUUUCUCCCUCACACUUUCUCAACUUCACUGUCUUCAGUGGUUCAGUCAUUUACCUGAAAUGAAACAAUGUCCUGAGGUAACUCAGAGACAGUUUUUAUAUUGUAGGCAACUGAAUGAUUUUGCACUUUUUGUCAACAAAUUCUAGUGGUCAUGUACAUAUCUGUGUAAAGUUUGCAACUGUCUAUCGUUAUGCUGAUGAAAAAUACUUGCUAUUUGUUUGUUAAUAUUUAACAUGCAUUCUAUUUUAAGCUGAACAGCUGUGUUUUGAAUUUGAAGUACCCGCUGUGAACUCCUGUGUGAUGUAUAAAUUUUACAAUCGGAUUUAUUUACAUUGUUAUUUACACUGUUAUUCAUCAAUGUUUAAC